GGAAUGUGGCUCAGUGGUAGAGUACUUGCCUAACAUGCAUGAAGCCCUGGGUUCAAUUCCUCAGUACCA
rnacentral:tRNA from 1 species